GCUUAGACUGUGGGGUUUUUCAGAUGUAGGAUUAUGUCAUCUGCAAAAAGGGAUAGUUUGACUUCCUCUCUUCGUAUAAGGAUGCACUUUAUUUCUUUAUAUUGUCUGCUUGCUCUGGCCAGGGCUAUCAAUGCUAUGUUGAAGAGGAGUGGCAGAAGAAGGCAUCCCUGUCUUGUACCUGUUUUCAUAGGGAAUGCCUCCAGCUUUUACCCAUUCAGCAUGAUGUUGGUUGUUGGUUUGUCAUAGGUGGCUUUUAUUAUUUUGAGGUAUGUUCCUUCAGUAUUUAGCUUACUGAGAGAUUUUAACAUAAAGGAAUGCUGAAUUUUGCAAA